GAAAGCUUUGAGGGAAUGGACACGUCCCGAGAACAGGGAGAGAUCUCCGGGGGUCGUGAGAGACUGCAGGAGUCCUGAGCAUGUGGAGAGGCGCAGGGAAGGUUUGGGCUCCCUCGCCCCAGGACAGGAGAUUCGGGGUCACCCCAGCGCGGCCGUUCAUGGGAAAAGGCGAGCUCUGGGUCAGCUGCACUGGGGGAAAUCCAGCGCUGCUCGGACGCGUCUCGGUGUCUUGUUCCUAAAUGACUCCCUUCAGAACCCGUGCCUGGGGCUCAGAUUAUUGCUGUCCCUGUUUCCUGGAACAUCAGCAUUUGACUCUCUACCCUGAAGUUUUGUAUCACAUCAGUUAUUCCAAAGAUUGAGGGAACAUAGCAGCAUUCUAACUUGUGGAUGCCUGGCAAGUGUCCUUAGAGCACAGUUCAUGUGUCUGGGCCUAAGGGACCACUCCUGUGCUCCUGGGGUUAAUUGCAGUUUUAGCAGCAGAAAUCAAGUCCCAUAAGCUUGAUUUAUAGUAUGUUGUGAGUGUUUUUCUUUCUCCUCCUAUUUUCCCUUAACAAUUGUCCAUGAUCCUUAGCUCAGAGGGAAUGUGUGUUGCUGUAAGAGGCACCAGAGAAAGGCGUUGAGCAAAUGAGCACAAAUCUGCUGCAAGAGGCUGCAGAGCUUGUCUGCCUGGACACCUGCCACAGCAGACAUCAUUCAAGGCUGGCAGCUGAGACACUGUGACCUUGGCUAUGACAUGGAGAUCUCCAAAUGGAGCAGAGCUCAGCUUUCCUGUCAGACUCCUCUCCAAUCUGUGCUGUUCAUCACACACUCCAACAACUCUUGUUUUGAAGCUUGAUUUUGGUGAAUUUAUUUAACCUUGUGCACGACGGGAAUUGCGCAGAGCCGCGGAAUGACGUUAACUUGACCCUCAUCUUGGAGGGUGAGGAAGGAACUGUCCUUGUCAGUGCACAGAGCUGGCUGCAGCUCUGGGACGGCAGAGCAGGGAAAAGUCAGGAAAAGGGGGUCUUGUCAACUGCUCUGCCAGUGUCCUUCCUCCCUUUGGAAACACUGCCAGAGCUUACGCGUUGGAGGUGAAGUAAAUACUAAUAAAGCUGCUGUUAA